rnacentral:rRNA from 1 species
GGAGGGUGCAAGCGUUGUUCGGAAUUACUGGGCGUAAAGGGCGUGUAGGCGGACCAAGUAGUUGGGUGUGAAAGCCCUGGGCUCAACCCAGGAAGUGCGCCCGAAACCAUUGGUCUAGAGAUUCGGAGGGGAGCGGGGAAUUCCCAGUGUAGAGGUGAAAUUCGUAGAUAUUGGGAGGAACACCGGUGCCGAAGGGGCCGCUCUGGACGAAUACUGACGCUGAGACGCGAAAGCGUGGGUAGCAAACAGGAUUAGAUACCCUGGGUAGUCCACGCUGUAAACGAUGUGCACUAGGUGUCGGGGGUAUUGACCCCCCCCCCCCGGUGCCCGCCGCUAACGCAUUAAGUGCACCGCCUGGGAAGUACGGUCGCAAGGCUG